GAUGAAGAACGCAGCGAAAUGCGAUAAGUAAUGCGAAUUGCAGAAUUCAGUGAAUCAUCGAAUCUUUGAACGCACAUUGCGCCCCCUGGUAUUCCGGGGGGCAUGCCUGUUCGAGCGUCAUUUCACCACUCAAGCCUCGCUUGGUAUUGGGCAACGCGGUCCGCCGCGUGCCUCAAAUCGACCGGCUGGGUCUUCUGUCCCCUAAGCGUUGUGGAAACUAUUCGCUAAAGGGUGUUCGGGAGGCUACGCCGUAAAACAACCCCAUUUCUAAGGUUGACCUCGGAUCAGGUAGGGAUACCCGCUGAACUUAAGCAUAUCAAUAAGCGGAGGA
rnacentral:misc_RNA from 1 species